rfam:Oryza glumipatula chromosome 3, whole genome shotgun sequence.
AAAAAGGCAAACCCUGAGUUUUCGUGUCCAACAUUUGACUGUCCGUCUUAUAUAAAUUUUUUUUAUAAUUAGUAUUUUCAUUGUUAGUAGAUGAUAAAACAUGAUUUAUACUUUAUACGUGACUUAUCUUUUAUUUUUUUAUAUUUUUUUCAAAUAAUACGGACGGUCAAACGUUGGACACAGAAAUACCGUGUUUGUCUUUUU